rnacentral:rRNA from 1 species
AGCAUAUCAAUAAGCGGAGGAAAAGAAACCAACCGGGAUUGCCUUAGUAACGGCGAGUGAAGCGGCAAAAGCUCAAAUUUGAAAUCUGGUACCUUUGGUGCCCGAGUUGUAAUUUGGAGAGGGCAACUUUGGGACCGUUCCUUGUCUAUGUUCCUUGGAACAGGACGUCAUAGAGGGUGAGAAUCCCGUGUGGCGAGGAGUGCGGUUCUAUGUAAAGUGCCUUCGAAGAGUCGAGUUGUUUGGGAAUGCAGCUCUAAGUGGGUGGUAAAUUCCAUCUAAAGCUAAAUAUUGGCGAGAGACCGAUAGCGAACAAGUACAGUGAUGGAAAGAUGAAAAGAACUUUGAAAAGAGAGUGAAAAAGUACGUGAAAUUGUUGAAAGGGAAGGGCAUUUGAUCAGACAUGGUGUUUUGCGCCCUCUGCUCCUUGUGGGUGGGGGAAUCUCGCAGUUCACUGGGCCAGCAUCAGUUUUGGUGGCAGGAUAAAUCCGUAGGAAUGUAACUUGCUUCGGGAAGUAUUAUAGCCUAUGGGAAUACUGCCAACUGGGACUGAGGACUGCGACGUAAGUCAAGGAUGCUGGCAUAAUGGUUAUAUGCCGCCCGUCUUGAAACACGGACCAAGGAGUCUAACGUCUAUGCAAGUGUUUGGGUGUAAAACCCAUACGCGUAAUGAAAGUGAACGUAGGUUGGGGCCUCGCAAGAGGUGCACAAUCGACCGAUCCUGAUGUCUUCGGAUGGAUUUGAGUAAGAGCAUAGCUGUUGGGACCCGAAAGAUGGUGAACUAUGCCUGAAUAGGGUGAAGCCAGAGGAAACUCUGGUGGAGGCUCGUAGCGGUUCUGACGUGCAAAUCGAUCGUCGAAUUUGGGUAUAGGGGCGAAAGACUAAUCGAACCAUCUAGUAGCUGGUUCCUGCCGA